rnacentral:lncRNA from 1 species
CAAAAGUGGUUGGGUAUGGUGGGGAGAGCAGAUGGACAUCACAGCUGCAGGAGUCCCAUCCCUUCCAAAAUCAGGAUAAAAAUGGAGCUGCUACACUCCCCUGGGACUUACAUAAAUCAGAUUUAUGGUUCCUCAUGCUGCUACCAUGAACCAAUACCAGGAAAUGCUCAGACACACAGUCCAAAGGCACUGGAAAGAAAAGGGUUCCUUCAGAGCUAUGAUUUAGAGUGUCUAAAGUUAAGCUCCUGCUCUGAGUCGCCCCCCAAACCUCCCUAUCACUGACGCACAUUCUCAUUGAAGUGAACCUUUGUGAAUUCCUCCUUUGUCAUUGAAAUAUGAAAUGCACAUACACUGUACAGCAAAAUGAAUAACCAGAUAAAAUGCUGCCACUGGGAUGUCUCAAAAUGUGAGCUUUCUGUUCUAUUCUGGAUGUUGUCAGGAGUCUAUGGAGAAUGUUGGAGUCAAACAUGACAUAUAGAAUCUGGAUUUUUAGGUGUUUGUGAUGGAAAUUUGAGUCUACCACAGUCUAUUAAUGUGCCAGUGACCAUCAGCUAGUAAUUAGAUUCUCAAAAAAAUAGCAGGGCUGGGAACUGAUGGCCUGCAGAAACCCUGGUGAAGAAGGAGGAGGGCAAAGUAUAUGGGCAGAGAUGGUUUAGUGUAAUUUUCACCUUUGAAAUUUUAAGCUGCUUCCAAAGGUGAUAAAGUAACCAAACAAGAUGUCCCUACUGCAUCCAAUACUGCUCAACAUCUUCAUUAUUAACCCGGAAGAUGGAUGUAGACUGCUGUGAUGGUUUAACAGCAGCUGGGAAUCAAACUCCAAAUAGGCCGCUCCCCUUCCCCCUGUCCCCCUCUGGUGAGGGAGGGACAAAGGAUUGACUGUGGGUUGAGAUAACAAUUUACUGAAGGCAAACAGCAAUGGAGUAAGAAACACAGUGACAACAGCAAUGCUAAUAACAAAAGUGUACAGAAAGAGAAGGUGCUUUAUACACAAAAGGCAUUCACCACCUUGACUUAGCUCUGCAUGGCCACUGAGACAAAGACAAGAUGGCAGGGGGAUGUACCUGCAGCUCAGCAGUGAUGUUUAUUUAUUUCUGAGGCAAAGACAGGAUGAUAGAUAUCCAGAUGUUCCUGUGGCUCAGCAGUGACACAGGGCUGUUUCCAAGACAAGAUGGCAGGACGACGUUCCUGCACCCAGCGCCACA